rnacentral:rRNA from 1 species
UACGUAGGGUGCGAGCGUUGCCCGGAUUUAUUGGGCGUAAAGGGCGCGUAGGCGGCGGGGUAAGUCGGGUGUGAAAUCUCAGGGCUCAACCCUGAAACUGCACUUGAUACUGCUCUGCUUGAGGACUGGAGAGGAGACUGGAAUUUACGGUGUAGCGGUGAAAUGCGUAGAUAUCGUAAGGAAGACCAGUGGCGAAGGCGGGUCUCUGGACAGUUCCUGACGCUGAGGCACGAAGGCCAGGGGAGCAAACGGG